GCGCGGUGGUCCCACCUGACCCCAUGCCGAACUCAGAAGUGAAACGCCGUAGCGC
rnacentral:rRNA from 4 species